ensembl:lncRNA
GCUGGGAGGAAACCAAAUUAGGACAGCUGCCGUCAACGAGCCAAAGGGAUAUUCCAUACCAUAUGACAUCAAGUGGAAGGGGUUUUGAAGGGGGUGGGAGUUCAUCUCACUCUCUUCCUCUGCUUGGCCAUUGGUUGGGAGGUGCUGAGCCACCGCUUCUACAUCACUUGUUACAUACAUUCGUAAAUAGACAUAUAUAUUACUUCGGUCCUUCCUUUUCUCUACCUUUGGAAAGAGAUUUCUCUCAACGCAUUAGUUCCACCUUCUUUUUUUUCCCCCCCAUAAUUCUCUCCCCCAUCCCACUGGGAAGGGGGGAGUAAGCAAAGGACUGUGUGGUGCUGAGCCACCCACCGGCUUAAACCACAACAGGGCCGUGGGGCAAUGGCAGCAGACGUGAAGUGCACUGGGCUCAGCAGGAAAUGAAAACCAUCUGGAGGUACGCAAGCCCACUCUUUCAUUUUCCAGGAAACAACCUAUGGUGUCAAUGAAACAUGCCCCUCACUAGGAACAUCUGCAAGGAUGCUUUGAAUGACUGAGGGCAUUGCAGCCCAUUAACGUCACCCUGCCGACACAAUGGCAUUGCAAACACAGCAGCAACUCCUGGCACCGAUACCUCCGGGUACAACAAGCACAGGGCACUGGGUUGCUUUGGAUGCAGUUUGAGAAAGGACGUGAGGGCUUUGUGGAAAGCGCCUUGCAGAGCACAUCAUGUCCUGCACCAGGCAGAGCGCUGUGCAUCUCUCGUCUCUCCAAACUUCGGGGCUUUGAAGCUGCACCUUGUUUCUUGGCAGUUUGCCCCCCACAACUCCAGAGCACUUUCAGCUGCUCCCUGGCAAUUCACGGCUUGCACAGUGCCAAACACAACAAAGAAAGGAGGCAAGAAAGAAGCAACAGCCAUGGCUAUGCACAGAAGCGGCCAGGAAGGGUUCAGCUCCAGAAUGAAACCUGCACAAGUCAACUCAGCAGAUUCCAAGGAAUUCAGUGACAUCUGACAGAAUUUGGAAUGCCAGAAGCACUUGCCACACAAACAGCACCGUAUUUGGAAAGCAGCACGUCCAAAUCAGCCCCCUUGCCCUGCUCUACCUGCUCAGCCCAACACAGAAAUCAAACACAGAAACUCUGAUGCUUUGGCUCACGGCAGCCAUCAAGCUCAUGCUUUAGUGACACAGAGAACUCCAUCUCCAGCUACUCUGUGUCUCGCUAAGCACAAGCUCGGCUGGGAGCUGUCGCUCAGCCUGACACCACAAGCAGAAAAGAAGCGCACAUAAGCAGAUGCUCUUAUCCACACGUGCAAGUCUGGGGGCGAGGAAUAAAAGGCUCACUGGGCCAUGGGCAAAGCAGGGAGCAGAUAGGCAGGAAACAGGAAGGAGCUGAAGUCCAGCUCUCCUACACCAAAGACAGGGAGAGCUGAGUCAGCACCACGGGAGGACUUACGACACAGCUUGAGAGCUUACAGAGACCUGAGAUUGCCAAAGGAGGCCACCAGGGGAACUCUCACCAGUCUUUUGCAGGGCUCUCACGGAUGCUUCCCAUGCUGACUUCUCCUGCCUAUGGCAUUGGUAGAAAGCCCAGGUGACAAACGCCCAUUUUGUCUGGGUAAUGCUUGUAUGCUUCCACGGUUAUCACUGAAACAAAAGAAAAAAAAAAGCAUGCCACCCUAUGAAAUUUGCCUCUCUACUGCUGCUGUCAGCGUGACAUCUUAGAUGAGCAUUACGCAUCCCUGCACCUGACUGAAGGUUCAUCCAAGUCUGUGUUCCACACAGCUCCAUCCCAGUGCCAAAAAGAAACACGGACAGUGAUGUUUAGAAGAUUCUUUGUGCAGAUACAAGUGCAGGGUGUAUGUGCAUUCUCUACAGCAAGAAAUAGCAAUUUCUCAAGCAGUCGUAUGAAAUGUCAAUGGAAAGGAAACAUAGGAUGAACUAUUUGCAUAUAAAAAAUCCUUGCUAAAGCUCUCCCCAGCAAAAAGGAAGCCUUCUGGGCAUUGCUGGCAGCAGUUCCCAGAACAUCUUGCACCACCAAAUGCAGCACGCUCCUUUUUUUCACAGGCCCCUCGUUUCUCUCAUCAGCGUCAGAUUCACUCCACUUCAAAUACACCCAUCAGAACAGCCCUUCCGUUCUGCUGAGGUAGGAACCCACUGCUGGGAUAUCCCCCACUCCCGUUCCCGGCUAUGUCCAGCACCAGGGGGGAAAGGAAGAGACACUGACAUCACCUACCCAGACUUCUUGCAGGGCCUUCCAUAUGCUCUCUCACAGGUAGAAGCGGCACAGCUCUCGUGGCACAAAGCUCGGAGAAGGCUGCAGAAAUCAAGGUUGCCGCGAAGGUGCUGCUUUCAAACAACGUGACUUAGCGGGCACGAGACGGGAAAGACAAGGUUCCGGUUCAGAAGCCUCCAAUCCCCGUGGAUGUGGCUGUCUGCAAAGACCACAGCUGCCUUCGGUGAUUGGUAACAGUGGG